rnacentral:rRNA from 1 species
CCUACGGGUGGCUGCAGUGAGGAAUAUUGGUCAAUGGGCGCGAGCCUGAACCAGCCAAGUCGCGUGAGGGAAGACGGUCCUAUGGAUUGUAAACCUCUUUUGUCGGGGAGCAAAAGACGCCACGCCUGGCGUUCCGAGAGUACCCGAAGAAAAAGCAUCGGCUAACUCCGUGCCAGCAGCCGCGGUAAUACGGAGGAUGCGAGCGUUAUCCGGAUUUAUUGGGUUGAAAGGGAGAGCCGGCGGAAGAUCAAGUCAGCGGUAAAAUUGAGAGGCUCAACCUCUUCGAGCCGUUGAAACUGGUUGUCUUGAGUGAGUGAGAAGUAUGCGGAAAGCGUGGGGUAGCGGUGAAAUGCAUAGAUAACACGCAGAACUCCGAUUGCGAAGGCCGCAUACCGGCGCUCAACUGACGCUCAUGCACGAAAGUGUGGGUAUCGAACAGGAUUAGAUACCCUAGUAGUC